UCAAGCUGGGUCUCCGUCUCUCAAUCGCGGCAGAUUACUGUUCUGUGCCUGCUGGAGACUGCAACUGAUACAGACUGAGGACUGUUGCUUAGAUGAGACAACUCACCUGCGCAAAAGUGGACAUGGCACUGGGUAAGAGAUAUAAGGUGAAACAAAAAAGGCCCAAACAAUACGCCUCAAACCAAAGCUGACUUCUGAGUGAAUGCC